AUGUCAGUAUUCCAGCCGGGUAUGUGGCGCGUACCUGUAAUCCUGCUUCUGGGAGGCUUGGUGUAGUGGAUGGCUUGAGGCUGGGAGUCCUGCUGGAUCGUCGCUUGCGUCGAACAGGUGUCCGCACUAAGCUUGGCAUCAACAUGGAUCGGUUGGAGGAAUCCGGCAGAUCCAGGUUAUCUAAGGAGGAGCGAAUCGGGCCAGGAGGGAAACCGAGCAGCCAAAAGUUCCCGUGUCGGGCAGUAGUGGGAUCGCGCCCGUGAGUAGGCGCCUUUCAGUAGCCCAGCCAAUAAAGUCACACCUACAUCUUUUUUCGUCUUUUUUUUCUAAUUGAAUUUCAUAGAUUCAGUAUUUUGUUUACUUUAUUUCACCAUAAAAUUUGUUUUCCGAAUUUUCAGCAUCAGUCGGGAACAUAGGCAUCGCACUGUGACAAGCUAUAGCUAAAUUGAAUCAAUCGUUCUCGUAGUUGGCAGUACGGGAAGGGAACAAUAAGGCCUCAUGAGUCCUGGCAGCAGCAGAAUUUGAUUUAUUUAAUGUUACAUUUUUACUGAUUGAAAAAAAUUGCUAAUCAAAUUUUCGCUAUUAUUUCAGUAUAGUACAUCAGCAAAGAAAAAAAGUCGGCUAUUUAAAAGUUUGUGGCCUUCUGAUUUAGGAAUUCUGUGCCGAUUUCUUGGCCCAGUUAGUGGGCUGAAUCGAGGAUUGAGCUGAAUUCUGUGCCGGGCUGGAUCAAGAAAUGCGCUUUUGCCAAUACUAUCCUGCUGUCCAGCCAAGUAUUGAUUUGACUGUAUGACUAAGGACUUCACAGUUUACAGUAGCCUGCCCUAGUUCGACAAUACUGACAAUAUACCGGAAGUUGUGCUAGUCACGUACUCACGGCCCAUAUCAGCCGAUGGAUAAAUUUCGUACCAAUGGCCAAUGAUACCUCGAGGAAAUUCCCCACGUCUUGGAAAUUAAUAAAUUAUGUCUUUGGUGCGCCAGCUCCCCUGAUCAUGUAUUGAUGAAUUAAAACUAAAAAUGAUUGGAAAAGGAAAUGACAAUAAAUCAAGUGUGGUGAAUUUCAAGUAAUUUAAUAUUUCAAUGGUUAUCCGGCAUGCUUGCUAUGCGACUCCAUCCUAUCUCCUAUCCUAAGCUU